ACUAAAUAGAUACCCUGGUAGUCCCAGCCGUAAACGAUGCUCGCUAGGUGUCAGGCAUGGCGCGACCGUGUCUGGUGCCGCAGGGAAGCCGUGAAGCGAGCCACCUGGGAAGUACGGCCGCAAGGCUGAAACUUAAAGGAAUUGGCGGGGGAGCACAACAACGGGUGGAGCCUGCGGUUUAAUUGGACUCAACGCCGGACAACUCACCGGGGGCGACAGCAAUAUGUAGGCCAGGCUGAAGACCUUGCCUGAAUCGCUGAGAGGAGGUGCAUGGCCGUCGCCAGUUCGUACUGUGAAGCAUCCUGUUAAGUCAGGCAACGAGCGAGACCCGUGCCCACUGUUACCAGCAUAUUCUCCGGAAUGAUGGGUACUCUGUGGGGACCGCCGAUGUUAAAUCGGAGGAAGGUGCGGGCCACGGUAGGUCAGUAUGCCCCGAAUCUCCCGGGCUACACGCGGGCUACAAUGGAUGGGACAAUGGGUCCCUACCCUGAAAAGGGCUGGUAAUCUCACAAACCCAUUCGUAGUUCGGAUCGAGGGCU
rnacentral:rRNA from 1 species